UGCCGAGUUGUGUAGUAGUAGCACAGAGGACUUUGGAUCCUUUAGCCCAGGUUCGAAUCCUGGCUCGGCAGCCA
rnacentral:tRNA from 1 species